UCAAGUAAACACAAACCUAAAUAUAAAGUUACAUGCGUACUCAAAUUUUACCAUUUGAGUAGCUUGUUACUAAUCGUUUGAUUGCCCAACGACAAUGGGGAUGAUUCAAGAAUAGCUGUGGGCGGUUGCGAGGAGGAAGUGAAAUUGGAAAUGGCGAGGGGAAUAGUAUGGGCGACAGCAGAGGAUUUAGCGCGUAAUAGACCAGCCGUUCUGUCGCUUUAUCGGAAUAUUCUGAGAACAUUGAACUCCGGAGAUUUGCCUUUAUCAUUGUCUGCGAGACAGCUGAAGAAGGCAGAAGCUCGAGCCAUCUUCGAGCUCGGUUCCGAACAAGUUUCUCUGCAUAAUAUUGCCGAUCUCAUGGACGCUGGCUACUAUACACUUUCUCUCCUUCGGAAGGGCCAACUUUCCCCCCAUAGAAUUGUCUAGUGGGCGCAUGCUAGUCCGCCCUUCCCGAGAUUGUUUGUCCUCAAGCAAUGAUGGUCCCCAAACCAAUCCCCAGAGGUAUUUGAAUGACUUAAGCUGCAAUAGAUGAAGUUAAAUGAAUGCAUAUGCUAUCCUAUCUCAGUAAGCAUCAGGUUUUGUAAUUUUUUAAUUGCAUUGAAUAGGAAGACACCUUGUAAUAAUAGACACUCGAUGCUUUCUUGCAUUAAGCAAAUGCUGUGGCAAGGAGUUUUCCCGAUAAGUAUUCUCUUUAGAUUUCUUUGAAUCAAGUAACGAAUUUGAAAAUAUAACCAUUCAAAACAAUGCCUUACAAUUAUAUAUAAGUACUAGGAAAGCUUUGGAAUAUAUAAUUUUCUGAACGAUUUUUUAA